AGGAAACAAAAAAGAAAAAAGAAAAAAGGGAUCAUUUUUCAGUCACAGAAAUUGUAGGGAAAGGAUUAGUUUUUGCC
rnacentral:ribozyme from 1 species